UGGGGAAUCUUGCACAAUGGACGAAAGUCUGAUGCAGCAACGCCGCGUGAGUGAUGAAGGUCUUUGGAUUGUAAAGCUCUUUAGAUUGGGAAGAAGUGACAUGGAGUUAAUACCUCUAUGUUUUGACGGUACCAAUAAAAUAAGCACUGGCUAAUUCCGUGCCAGCAGCCGCGGUAAUACGGGAGGUGCAAGCGUUGUUCGGAAUGACUGGGCGUAAAGAGUACGUAGGCGGGUGUGUAAGUCAGAUGUGAAAUCCCUGGGCUCAACCUAGGAAUGGCAUUUGAAACUGCAUGUCUUGAAUGUUUGAGGGGCUAGUGGAAUUCCAGGUGUAGGAGUGAAAUCCGUAGAGAUCUGGAGGAAUAUCAGAGGCGAAGGCGACUGGCUGGCAAAACAUUGACGCUGAGGUACGAAAGCGUGGGGAGCAAACAGG
rnacentral:rRNA from 1 species